rnacentral:lncRNA from 1 species
UAUUUUUUUGUAGCAUGCUGUUCCCAGUUUUUCGAAGGGUUGUGAGUCAAGGUAGGAAGAGAGAGCACAUCAUUUACUCGGUAACUUGGUUAUCAAAUGAAGGGUGUGGGUUAAUGUGUUAAGUGCUGCUUCAAAUGACCAAAUCGCAUAUUUUUAAAAAAUAUGGCUUGGUUGAUUGUCAAAUGGCCAAAUCGAUUUUGAAAUGGCCAAACCUCAUUUACUAAGCAACAUUUUGAGUUCGGUUUUAACAUAAAAAAAAAAAAAAAUUAUAUAAGAUGGCAACUUUAAAAUGUAGAAUCAAGACGCAUAUUUUUUUUUUAAAAAAACAGGUUAAUUAUUUAUCCAUUUCAGCAUGUGAAAACAUGAGAGAUGAGUAAAACCCUUUUUAGUUUCUACCUCUAUUUUUCAUGGAGGCUAAUAAAUAGAUUUAAGGAGUAUAAAGUUGCAACAAAUGAUAGAUAGCUUGUAACAAAUAAAAAAUAAAAUUAGAAGAAAAUAUCAACACUAAACAAGAAGUUGAGAACACUG